AUACGUAUGUCGCAAGCGUUAUCCGGAUUUAUUGGGCGUAAAGCGCGUCUAGGCGGCUUAGUAAGUCUGAUGUGAAAAUGCGGGGCUCAACCCCGUAUUGCGUUGGAAACUGUUAAACUAGAGUACUGGAGAGGUAGGCGGAACUACAAGUGUAGAGGUGAAAUUCGUAGAUAUUUGUAGGAAUGCCGAUGGGGAAGCCAGCCUACUGGACAGAUACUGACGCUAAAGCGCGAAAGCGUGGGUAGCAAACAGGAUUAGAUACCCUGGUAGUCCACGCCGUAAACGAUGAUUACUAGGUGUUGGGGGUCGAACCUCAGCGCCCAAGCUAACGCGAUAAGUAAUCCGCCUGGGGAGUACGUACGCAAGUAUGAAACUCAAAGGAAUUGACGGGG
rnacentral:rRNA from 1 species